ACUUCGGUCCUCCUAAAAAAACACUAAGACUUGUUUCUCACUGAUUUCUCCACUAUUCCAUAAUGUCUCAAAGCUCCUAAUGUAAACCUCUAAAUCUCGUAUUUGUCUAAGGUUUUUAAGCUCUUAUAGUGGAUCUUUCUUACCACCAAACCUACAACAUAUUGACUCUACAUAUUCACCCCAAGUUACUACUUGCAACCUUUUGCUUUUUAUGAAUUUUUGGUGCCAAUAUAUGACAAUUCCAUCUAAAUAGUAGGAAGCUAACUUAAGCUUCCCAGUCUCAUCAAUUUCUUCAAUGUCAAAUGUCAAAAUAUCGAUUGCAUUUGUAUAACCACUUGUGCACAUCAUCAUCAUCAAAGUUAUGAAAGUCGUGUUUUGGUUUAUGUACCUUGUAAGUGGGGUAAUUUCCUUCAUAAAUCCAACAUGAUCUGGUAGUAGAAUCCUUAUUAGAUGUUUGAUAGUCAUUCUUAAUGUUGGGCUCACAAAAAUUAUGUUGCAGCUUCUGUAAAGGGGGGUUUUGCUGAUAAGACAACUCAUUGAUGAGUUCUUAAUUUGAGCUCUCCAAACUUGGCUUCAUGAUAAAAUUUGGUGGCUUCCAGUUGCUGACCAUAUCCUUUCAUUGAUUUCAUGACCUGUUCAUAUUUCUAUGAUUGUUCCCUAUAUGCAUAUUCGAACGAUUCUUCCAACCUUUUGAGAUCUUAGGACCUGGUGUUUGGAGCCAUAACUUGUAACCAAAGAUCAGUGGCUCUAAUACCACUUGUUGAAAGUUGAAGGGAAAUGGUACCAACCUGGAUGCUCUCCAGGUGAGUACAAAGAAGAAGAGGCUAUCAGCCAGCUCUAGAGAUGGAAGAGAAUGGUUUGUUAAAAAGAAUCAACAAAGAGAGAGGGAGAGAAGGAGAGUACAGUAAUGUUAAAAUUCAUUCAUCAUUUAUUUUUCCAUGUUUCUUCCGUUUGGUUACAUCUUCUUAUAAGGAGAGUAACAUUUCUUACAGUCCUGUUCUUGACACAAAUGGCUUCUAAUUUGCACUAAACAAAACGCAGCGUAUCAUAGGUAGACAUUCCACUAAUUAAAACAAUGUGUUCAUCUACUAGAUAUAUAAUUGCUUCUUGCUAACAGUUACAUUUAUUUGAAAAAACGAAGUCUCUGCUAAAGAAAGUUCUUUCUCCUCUUCAUCGUUGAGCUCUGCCAAUUCAGCCUUGUGACAUCUAGGCACCGCCAAGUUUAAAUUACGAGAAAGGAUUAUCAAACUGCUCAUAUUUUGAUUUUUCUACCAAAGGGGUAUGGUGACCAUAUUACUUCCAAUUCUCAUGAACGCUGCAUUGUUUUGGCAUGAAGAUUUGCGCUGGUGUUUUUGUGAGCUUGAGUGGCGAGUGACAGGAUUCAAUAGCAUUUAAAUGAAUGGUUAGACUCUUGGAGGAUUCUUAACGAAAUACGGUAGAUCAUGGUUGCAAUUUGCUUCUGGUAGUUUAGAUUUUCUUGACUGCUUGCGCUGUAAUGUGAAUGACAGGGUUAAGUCUGUGGCAGACCAUUCAUUUCAAGCUUAAAAUUGCCGUUAAGUUGCAAUCUGCUAUGCGUGGCCAACUUGCUUGGCACCAAUCAAUCGGAGUCCUGCAUUGUGCUGGGGACAUUGUUAAAAUGCAAGCUCUUGUUCGUGCAGGGGCAUAUGUAGAAGAGGAGGGUGGGCCUGUAUCAAAGAUUUUACCAGUCACUAGGCACUAAUUCUACCCAACUCAAAAGGAACUGUUAUUCUUUAUCCAAAAGGCACUGACUUUUCAAGUUA